CCAGAAAUACAGGCCCAUCCUGGGCGCCAAGUGACUGGAAAUCGACCAAAAUGUCACCGUUGGCUUGCCUUUGGCUCAGCCAAGAUGGUUCAAGAACACUCACAUUCUCCUACCUAGAAACUCUCUCUGAACUCCCGCCUGGGCUCCAGUCAGUUGGCCCCAGAAGACCUGAAGAGGGGACCCCGAACUGGCUGGGAGGGGGUUCCCCAGGGCCACUGCCCCCAUUGUAAUGCCUUUCUGGAACAGCUGGGUGCCAUGCUUCAAGGUGAGUUCCCCAUCGCCUGCUAGACAGAAAGGACCCACUGCUCCUUAAGGAGGCUCGCCCUGGUCUAAGAUGUAGGCUGUAUCUAGAGGAUGGGAACUCACUUGUGAGUGGCUCGUGGGCCCUAGACCUUCCUGCUUUGCAAAGGCUUUGUAAAUGGGCCCGUGUUUAGGGGCAGCUCGGUGACGUGUGUGGGGAGAGAGCCAGGCUUGGAGACUGGGGCUCCUGGGUUCAAAUCUGGCCUCAGACACUUCCUAGCUGUGUGACCCUGGACAAGUCACUUAACCUCCCCCCCUUGCCCAGCCCUGACUGCUCUUCUGCCUUGAGACUGAUACUGAGUAUUGAUUUUAAGAUGGAAGGUAAGGUGGGUUGUUUUUUUUUUUAAUAUUCCUGUGCUUUUACAUGUCCCUUGCAAAUCCCAUCCCUUAGCAAGGGAGUUCAGGGUUCUCCCUUCCCUGAGGGUCACCCAUCUCUCUUCUCUGAGCCAAGUCCCCCUCCAUAGUCAGGGGCAGAGCCAGGGUGACCAGGAGGGCUUGUUCCCUUCUAGCUUUUGGCCCCGGGGUACCUCCAGGUUGGGCAGCAUCUUCAAGACCAGCAGAGGAGAAGGCGAAGGCUGUGGGACCGCUUCAGAAAGCCGUGGAGGGUCCCACCAAGCAUGGCCCAAGGGGGGGCCGAGCUCCCCGGAGUGACCUGAAGGACAUCGAUCGGGUUAAAGAGCAGCACCGACUGGUGACGGCACAGUUGCAGGAUCUGUUUGGGGAGAGGCGAGAAAGGCCCGGCAGGGCUGGACAGCCCCCCAGAGAGUGGCCGGAGGGGAGCUCCGGGGACCAGGGGGCCAAGAAGCCCCAAGUGGAGCAGCUAAACUGAGGUUCUGCUGGCACUCUCGGGAGCCUGACAGCCUUCCUCACUUCGGGUAGGUCUUGCACGCUGCCGUCCUGUCCCUCCUUGGAG
rnacentral:lncRNA from 1 species